AUAAGUUAGCAUUGAUUAGAGGGAUUUAUCCUUCCUUGAUUCAAAUCUAAUUCAUCUUGAUCAAUUGAUCAAGUGGAUGGCUUUGCAUUAAGGAUAGGUUGUCUUGUAAUUCAUGCAUAAGGCUUAAACCAAUACAAGAUCAAUUCUCUUCUCCUUUUUGGCAUGGCAAGUUGUUGGGACUUGGUUCACUAAUCAAGACUCCUAACUUGUGUUUGUUGCCUACAUUAUUAUUGAUCGGCCUCAGAUAG
rnacentral:lncRNA from 1 species